AAGAAUUCAAACAAGAUGGGACAUCAUAAUUAAGUGGUAGUCAGACUGUUGUGAGUCUGUAAAGUCUUUAUUGACUUUAUUGUAGUUAGACAACCACACCUUUAGAUAUCUAACCAAAUUAGAAUAAGACAUUUUAGUGUCAGAACAAAGAAAAUGGAAACAAUUACACUUUUUUACUAAGCACAUCUUAAAAUAGGCCUAUCCAUGUUUGAUUAAUAUUUUCUAUUUGGAUCGAUGCCGUUGUAUGGUUGGUCAUUAAAUGGAUGAAUUGAUGUAUUGUUACACCCCCUAGUCUUUACUGAAAUUACCAGACUGUGUCAGUGCUUGUAUAUUCUAGGAUGCCACCCACAGAAUGGGACUCUCCUGUCAUAGGUGCUCUUUAUGUUUUGCAAUCAUGCUAAUUUGCCGUCUUGUAAAUCUUGGUCAUGUUCGUGCUUAGCUUCUUUUAGCCUGUUAAUGAAAUCGGGAUUUCAUGCAGGAUAGUUCUUAACUUUCUUCUCCAAAUUUGUUUCCUGAUUUAACCUGAAAAAAAAAUAAUAAGUAAUACUGAAAGAUGACAACAACUAUCACUUCUUAUGUUCUUAAAAAGCUCAAAUUAGUCAACUUGCUUAAAAAAAAUGUAAAAAAAAAGCCAGUGAGUCAAAGCUACAGAGGCUGAUAUGAGAUUGCUGGAUAUAUUCAGUAUCCAUGAAAUGUGCACAAAAUCAUAUUUUUCUGUAGUGUUUUAAUCAAGGUCUUCCAGGUGACAGUCUAUCCUGUUUCAUCCGCUCUUUGUUAAUUGAAAUGAAAUCAGAAGCGUUUCCUGUUGGUUGUACGUUGCUGCAGAUACUAUAACAUACUCCGUGAAGAUUUUUGACUUUAUAGUUUCUCAGUUUGAAGGUUUACGCUCUGGUUCUGGUGUGAAUGGCUGUGAGUGUCGUACUGUUUAGUUCUUCUUUUUUUUUUUGCAGUGGUCCUCGUGAGAUUGACCUGCAUGGCUUUAACAGCUGUGUUUGUGUUACAACUCACUUCCAUCGUGCUUCCUUUUCCAUCACUGUUUUCUAACCACUGAACUUUACUUUUGCACUUUAUCACUGAGUAGGCCAGACUAUGGGACUGGGUCAGGGCCAAGGCUCUCAAUAUAUGAAUGCAAAAUGCUGAUGCAAUAAAGAAAAUAGGGGCUAUUGUAAGGAAAAAAAACAGACUUCUGAAGUUGGCAAUGUGGUGGUUUGCAUGUUCUUCGAACAUAUAUUUAAAUCACACCAUCAGUUUUUAGAUGGGUUUUCUUUUGUUUUCCUAUGAGAAUUUACUGAGACCUGAAGCAUCCUUGAACUCAAUCCCAAAGUUAGUUCAGGGGAGACGUUUCAGAAAAAAACUGACAACAUAAAACAUGAUCAGUGACUGCCUGGUAGGUAGGUAAUUAAUCUGAUGGAAGUUUUUGACAAGGAGAGCUAUCACUGUGCUAAAUUACACAGUUUGAUCCCAUAGCUCCAGUAGAGCUGUGUGAUUUUUAUUUGCACAAUUUAAAGGGCAACUUUCCCCCCUUUGAAAAACAGUGGGAGAAUAUAACUUUACUGUUAGCAACAGUGACGCCAUGAAGCCAUGCAGUUUGUUUGAAUGCAUGUGUGUGUGGUGUUGAUUAAAGGAAAACAAACAGGAAAAUGUGUUUUUUUUAUUGGUUUUAAUACGUCUUCCAGAUGUGAAAAUUCUAAAUCUUGGUAGAUUCUGGGAAACCGUCUUGUCAGCCGCUGAUAUGAAACAAAAUCCCACAAACAGUUGCUUAAGACGAUCAACCAGUUCAACCCUGCAAAGCAAAACAAAACCAUUUUCCUAUUGAAAGAUCUUGUUGGCUGCCAACAAAGGAUCAGUCCCUACAGGAAAUUGUGACGUUGGGAUUAACGCAAAUUCAGCCAAUCCUUGGAAAUUUUGCACGUUCUUGGUUUUUUGUCCAAUCACCACAACUUUAAUGUAACUUUGGCAAAUCUCAGCAAUUAUCUGCAUUACCUGAAACACAUACGUCAUCAAAUUUACGUCCCCGUUGUGAUUAUUUACAUGCAGACAUGUGCAGGAUAAAUGUGUCGCAUGUGGCAUCUGAAAUAGUGCAUGGCACUUUCCCAGUAUUCAGGAAGGGGUUUUGCUUUGAUUUACGAACCGUCUUGCAUACAGAGACCCCAGCUCCUUGAAGCAGCCAGAGCAGCUUCGAAUCCCGACUGGUGGUUGGUUGCUGCAUGUCACGGCUUCUCUCUCUGACCCAUUUUCCCUCUCUAAUAAAGGUCCUAGAGCCUGAAAACGCUUUCCUAGUGUUGACCAUAAUAAGCUGUUUUGUACCAUGGCAACAUUGCGGUGGAAGAUAAACAAAAGUUAUCAACUCAAACAUUUUUGUACCACAAAACACCGCCAGAGAAGGUCUGAAAUGCACCAACAGAUAAAGAAAAUCACCAUGAAGAGUCAAUAUCAUCCAGACCUGCUGUAAAUGCCAAACAAAUAAGAAUAUUGGCAAGUUUUUUGUACAGUGUUUUGCACAUAAUAAAACACUUAGAAAAACCUUGCAACUUUUGCCAUAAAAUUUCACAAAAACUGCUGCAAAAUCAAGGAUUUUAGGUCACAGCAAUCACAAAAAAAGCCACGAAAUCCUAGAGGGACUGAAUUGUUAUAAAGCCUGGUUUUGUUAACCGGGACACCACAGAAGGAGGAAUCCAGGGUGGGAAGACGGCUUAACAAAACACUGGACUGUAGAAAUCUGUGAUUUUAACCCUGAAAAGUCCAUAAUUAUAACUGUGUUCUUAUUUAUAAGCAUGACAACCCUUCAGAUUCGGUUCCAAAAAACCAUCAAGGACCCAAAAACGUUUUAAAAGAGCACUUGCUGUCACUGACUGAGAGGAAUUCUUUGGCUGGAUUGUGUUUCAGUUCUACAUUCAAUAUGUUCCCUGAAACAGUGGUAAAAAGGUUUAGAUUUUUCUAUGAUACUUUGCAUCUAUUUGAAAGAGAUGGGAUGGAUGACAAAACCAAUAGCACGAAAAACAUGUAUGCUUUUCUCUUAUUAUAAUCCCCCAAAAAAUAGAAAAAAAAUUGAAAAGUAGUAAAGUUUUAUUGAACGUGUGACCGCUGCUAGCAUCACCCCAAAGCAGCGGGUCGGUGGAAUGCUGCUGUGACUUUCUCCAGAGAGCAAGUUGUGUUGAAAAGUCCAAAAAGAGACUAAAAUAUCUGUUUAGUGCAAUGAAAUCCAAACUGUUGCUUUCUUAGUGCGUAAAAGGGCUACACUACUUAAAUAUGCACCACUUGCUGAUUCAUUGCGCUUGUACAUGAGGCAUCCUCUCUCCUGACGAGGAAGCAGCCUUGGUUUGUUUUCAUGCUGCUUCACGCCGAGUUCAGGAGGCCCCGCCCAUUUUAUAUUUUGCAUAGUGUUACAGUACAACCACUUACAGAAUGUAUUAAGUGGACCAGCUGCUAACUUGAUUUUAUUUUGCUCCUUGGCAAAAUGAUUCACCUCCUGUACAAGAUUGUCACUGAUACAUGUCAAUGUUUGGUCCUGCACUGCCGGGAAGGCAGGGACACGUUCAGAUACUAACAGGCUGCAGAAAGCUCCCAGCGUGCUUCAUCUGCUGACAAACACCUAGAUUAAAAAGGUGAUCUGCAGCAUUUAUGUCUUAUCAAAAGACUGAUGACUGUCACCACUCUUUGCAUGAGAUCUACUGUUUGUAUGACACACACCUCUGACUGUAUAAUCACUAAAAUCAGCACUGUACUGUAAUUACAACGAGAACAAAGUGAAUAUAAACCUCUAAGUGAAAGAGGUCUGUGAUUUUUCUUCUUUUUUUUGUAAAUAAUUCAUAGUGCUACUUUAGGGGAUACUCACGGAUCAGAACUGUUGAGAACUUGGGACAAAGGACAAAAAGUGGCAUCCAAUUUCAUCUUUUUUCUACCGCAGCGUUAUUGUGAAUUACAGUGUUUAGUUUUUUAGUGGAAGAACCUGAGAUAGAUUAGAGUGUAAAGUAUCACAGGUUUUCUCCUCACAUUUCAUAUUCAGUGUCUCCUAAUUUAUUUUAUUUUUUCUGUUUUGUUUUGUUUUAAUCUAAUUUUUUGCCACUACAACAACCGUCCCAUCAGUCCUGACGGAUGAAAACGUGUCUGCUUCGUUGCAGAGACAGACUGUAGCAAACCAAUGUACCAAUGUGAACUUUUUUUAAAUGCUGUUACACAAAUUGUACCACCAUAAAUAUUGGAAGUGUUUCUUCCGGGUUGUACAUGACUCAAAACUGUUUGCAGGUUAAUGGCCCCAUUAAAAAGUGCAUUUUGA